rnacentral:misc_RNA from 1 species
GAACUGCGAUAAGUAAUGUGAAUUGCAGAAUUCAGUGAUUCAUCGAGUCUUUGAACGCACAUUGCGCCCCCUGGCAUUCCGGGGGGCAUGCCUGUCCGAGCGUCAUUGCUGCCCUUCAAGCCCGGCUUGUGUGUUGGGUCGUCGUCCCCUCCGGGGGACGGGCCCGAAAGGCAGCGGCGGCACCGCGUCCGGUCCUCGAGCGUAUGGGGCUUUGUCACCCGCUCGAUAAGGACCGGCCGGGCGCCAGCCGGCGUCUCCAACCUUUUUUUCUCAGGUUGACCUCGGAUCAGGUAGGGAUACCCGCUGAACUUAAGC